UUCGUUAGCCCUCUCAGUAUAAAACUAGGGGAAGGCCAAUACUUUCUGCACAACCAGAAAUAGCACUCAAAUUCAACAAAAAGCAAGUUCGCUCUUCCGUUGAGGAUUUCUUUGAGUUGAACAAAAUGAUUAGCACAAGGAAGCUGAUUCAAAUGGCAAGGAAGUGGCAGAAGAUGGCUGCAAUUGGAAGAAAAAGAAUUUCGUUUCAUCGGACGAAUAGCAAGUCCGCUUCAGCACAUGCAAAUAGAUCAGCGGUCGCUCAGAGGGGUCACUUUGUUGUCUAUACAACAGAUGAGAGACGCUUUGUGAUCCCUCUCUCGUUUCUCAGCAACGACAUAGUGAGGGAGCUCUUUAGAGCAUCAGAAGAAGAGUUUGGGAUUACAUGUGAUGGUCCAAUCAUGCUUCCAAUUGAUGCGCCAUCUACGGAGUACAUAAUUUCAUUAAUUAGAAGAGGCUUGGCUAAGGACCAAGAGAAUGCUAUGCUUCUGUCGUUCGCCAGACAAAGAUGCUCAUCAUCCUUGGCUUUCAAUCAAGCGUUAGAAAAUCCAGAAAUUCUUGUUUGUAGCUGACAGAUAUAGCACAUACCUGUACUUAUGGGAUUAAUGAAAGUAGAUUUGCCACGAUACAUACGCUAUUCUAGUCCAUUUUUACUUUGCUUAGAUCAUCAUUGCAUUUUGUGAUGGUUGGUUUUGACUCAGAUCAUCAUGUCCUGCACUUCGGAUCCGUGCAACCGAAGAGUACACAGGCUAGAUUUUACGGUGAAGCCGACUUGAUACAGGGAGCAAGAAACGAUGAUCAGCCCCAAGAAACUACUUAGGAUGACAAGGAAGUGGCAGAAAUUGGAUGCCGCGGGAAGGAGAAGGCUUUCUUUGCUGAAAACCGAAGGGAAGUUUCUCCCCACAUCUUCACUGGCAGAUAAGGGACAUUUCGUUGUCUACACCAUGGAUGAACAUCGCUUCAUGAUACCCUUGUCAUAUCUUCGCAGCGACGUCUUCCAAAUGCUAUUUGAGAUGCCUGAAGACGAGUUUGGACUAUCAAGUGACGGUCCCAUCAUCAUGCCUUGUGAUGCAGCUGUCAUGGAGUACAUGGUGUCCCUAGUCCAACAAGACGUGGCUAAAGAACUGGAGAAAGCUUUGCUUAAUUCAAUUCUUUGUUGAGGGUGCUCAUAGAUGGCUUCUAUUAUCAAAGUCUGAUUCCAAGUUCUUGUUUGUAGUUAAUGAUAGCACCAACUCUAACGUGUUAUUAGGCCACACCACACAGAUGAAGGAUGUAAAUAUACUCAGCUUAUGAUUCUCAAUUGUGAAGUCUAUAAAAUCCUAGAUAGUAUAUUUUUUCCAA